rnacentral:misc_RNA from 1 species
GAUGAAGAACGUAGCGAAAUGCGAUAAGUAGUGUGAAUUGCAGAAUUCAGUGAAUCAUCGAAUCUUUGAACGCACAUUGCGCCCUUUGGUAUUCCAAAGGGCAUGCCUGUUCGAGCGUCAUUUGUACCAUCAAGCUUUGCUUGGUGUUGGGCGUCUUGUCUCUAGCUUUGCUGGAGACUCGCCUUAAAGUAAUUGGCAGCCGGCCUACUGGUUUCGGAGCGCAGCACAAGUCGCACUCUCUAUCAGCAAAGGUCUAGCAUCCACUAAGCCUUUUUUUCAACUUUUGACCUCGGAUCAGGUAGGGAUACCCGCUGAACUUAAGCAUAUCAAUAAGCGGAGGA